GGGGAUUUAGCUCAGUGGUAGAGCGCUUGCAUAGGAAGCGAAAGGCCCUGGGUUCGGUCCCCAGCUCCG
rfam:Rattus norvegicus chromosome 1, whole genome shotgun sequence.